rnacentral:rRNA from 1 species
UUUUCCUACGGGGGGCAGCAGUGAGGAAUAUUGGUCAAUGGGCGCAAGCCUGAACCAGCCAAGUCGCGUGAGGGAAGACGGCCCUACGGGUUGUAAACCUCUUUUGCCGGGGAGCAAGCCUGAGCACGUGUGCCCAGGCGGAGAGUACCCGGAGAAAAAGCAUCGGCUAACUCCGUGCCAGCAGCCGCGGUAAUACGGAGGAUGCGAGCGUUAUCCGGAUUUAUUGGGUUUAAAGGGUGCGCAGGCGGCACGGAAAGACGGCGGUCAAAUCGCGGGGCUCAACGCCG